GGGACUGUAGCUCAGUUGGUUAGAGCACU
rnacentral:tRNA from 1 species